rnacentral:misc_RNA from 1 species
CAGAGUUCAUGCCCGAAAGGGUAGACCUCCCACCCUUGUGUAUUAUUACUUUGUUGCUUUGGCGAGCCGCCUUCGGGCCUUGCGUGCUCGCCAGAGAAUAUCAAAACUCUUUUUAUUAUUGUCGUCUGAGUACUAUAUAAUAGUUA